rnacentral:rRNA from 1 species
UGAACCCGGUGAAUGGUAGAACCGGGGUAAGCGUGUAGGAGGAGGACCAGGUAAAUCCGGGCCUCAUAAACUCUGAGACGUGAUACCGAGCCGCUUCAGGCGAAGUCAUUGAUCCUAUGCUGCCUAGAAAAGCCCAGCAGCGAGUUGACAUGGUGCCCGUACCCCAAACCAACACAGGUGGACAGGUAGAGCAUACCAAGGCGAGUGGGAUAACUAUGGUUAAGGAACUCGGCAAAUUGCCUCCGUAACUUCGGGAGAAGGAGGACCCCAGUAGCAUGAUGAGACUUGCUCUCUGAGCGUGAAGGGGUGGCACAAAAUUGAGGGAAGCGACUGUUUACCAAAAACACAGCAGCGUGCUAAGCCGUAAGGCGCUGUAUACGCUGUGACUCCUGCCCGGUGCUGGAAGGUUACGGGGAUGGGUUAGUCCUUCGGGACGAAGCUCUGAACCUAAGCCCCAGUAAACGGCGGCCGUAACUAUAACGGUCCUAAGGUAGCGAAAUUCCUUGUCGGGUAAGUUCCGACCUGCACGAAUGGAGUAACGACUUCCCUACUGUCUCAACCAUAGACCCAGCGAAAUUGAAGUACGAGUAAAGAUGCUCGUUAGCUGCAGAAGGACGGAAAGACCCCGUGGACCUUUACUAUAACUUGAUGUUGUGUUUUGUCAUAUGUUGUGUAGGAUAGGUGGGAGACUUGGAAGCAUGGACGCUAGUCUGUGUGGAGUCAUCGUUGAAAUACCACCCUGCAUAUGGUGAGGCUCUAACCUAGACCCGUUAUCCGGGUUGGGGACAGCGUCAGGCGGGUAGUUUAACUGGGGCGGUUGCCUCCUAAAGAGUAACGGAGGCGCCCAAAAGGUUCCCUCAGCCUGGUUGGCAAUCAGGCGUUGAGUGCAAUGGCAAAAGGGAGCUUGACUGCGAGACCUACAAGUCGAGCAGGAGCGAAAGCUGGGCAUAGUGAUCCGGCGGUUGCGUGUGGAAGCGCCGUCGCUCAACGGAUAAAAGGUACCCCGGGGAUAACAGGCUAAUCUUGCCCAAGCGUCCAUAGCGACGGCAAGGUUUGGCACCUCGAUGUCGGCUCAUCGCAUCCUGGGGCUGAAGCAGGUCCCAAGGGUUGGGCUGUUCGCCCAUUAAAGCGGUACGCGAGCUGGGUUCAGAACGUCGUGAGACAGUUCGGUCCCUAUCCUCUGCAGCCGGAGGUGAACUGAGGAAAGCUGUCCCUAGUACGAGAGGACCGGGACAGACGCAGCUCUCGUGUGCCAGUUGUCCUGCCAAGGGCAUGGCUGGUUAGCGACCUGCGGAAAGGAUAACCGCUGUAAGCAUCUAAGCGGGAAGCCUCUUCCAAGAUGAAUUCACCCACAGGGUUAACCUGGUAAGGCCCGUGGUAGACCACCACGUUGAUAGGCCGGAAGUGUAAGCGUGGCAACACGUUCAGCUGACCGGUACUAAUCGGCCGAGGGCUUGAGUG